rnacentral:tRNA from 1 species
GGAGAGGUGGCAGAGUGGUCGAUUGCGGCGGCUUGCUAAGCCGUUGUAGGGGGAUUUCCUCUACCCAGGGUUCGAAUCCCUGCCUCUCCGCCA